rnacentral:rRNA from 1 species
GUUAGGAAUAUUGGACAAUGGGCGCAAGCCUGAUCCAGCCAUGCCGCGUGAACGAUGAAGGCCUUCGGGUUGUAAAGUUCUUUAGCCGAUGAUUAUAAUGACUGUAGUCGGAAAAUAAGCCCCGGCUAACUUCGUGCCAGCAGCCGCGGUAAUACGAAGGGGGCGAGCGUUAUUCGGAAUCACUGGGCGUAAAGCGUGCGUAGGCGGUCUCGUAAGUUAGGAGUGAAAGCCCAGGGCUCAACCUUGGAAUUGCUCUUAAAACUGCAAGGCUAGAAGCUCGGAGAGGAUAGCGGAAUUUCCAGUGUAGCAGUGAAAUGCGUAGAUAUUGGAAGGAACACCAGUGGCGUAAGCGGCUAUCUGGACGAGUAUUGACGCUGAGGCACGAAAGCGUGGGGAUCAAACAGGAUUAGAAACCCGGGUAGUCC